rnacentral:rRNA from 1 species
AGAGUUUGAUCAUGGCUCAGAAUCAACGCUGGCGGCGUGCCUCAGACAUGCAAGUCGAACGAUUAAGACUCUCUUCGGAGAGUGUAUAAAGUGGCGCACGGGUGAGUAACACGUAGGUAAUGUGCCUUUGGGUGGGGAAUAACUUAGGGAAACUUAAGCUAAUACCGCAUAAUGCAGCGGCUCGACAUCGAGACAGUUGUUAAAGAUUUAUCGCCUAAAGAGCAGCCUGCGGCAGAUUAGCUAGUUGGUAAGGUAAUGGCUUACCAAGGCUACGAUCUGUAACCGACCUGAGAGGGUGGUCGGUCACACUGACACUGAAUAACGGGUCAGACUCCUACGGGAGGCAGCAGUCGGGAAUUUUGGGCAAUGGGCGAAAGCCUGACCCAGCAACGCCGCGUGAAGGAUGAAGUAUUUCGGUAUGUAAACUUCGUAAGAAUAGGAAGAAUAAAUGACGGUACUAUUUGUAAGGUCCGGCUAACUACGUGCCAGCAGCCGCGGUAAUACGUAGGGACCAAGCGUUGUUCGGAUUUACUGGGCGUAAAGGGCGCGUAGGCGGCGUGGUAAGUCAGCUGUGAAAUCUCCGAGCUUAACUCGGAACGGUCAGCUGAUACUGCUGUGCUAGAGUACAGAAAGGGCAAUCGGAAUUCUUGGUGUAGCGGUGAAAUGCGUAGAUAUCAAGAGGAACACCUGAGGCGAAGGCGGGUUGCUAGGCUGAUACUGACGCUGAAGCGCGAAAGCUAGGGUAGCAAACGGGAUUAGAUACCCCGGUAGUCCUAGCCCUAAACGAUGUAUGCUUGGUG